rnacentral:rRNA from 1 species
GACGUAGGGCGCGAGCGUUGUCCGGAUUUAUUGGGCGUAAAGAGCUCGUAGGCGGCUUGUUGCGUCGACCGUGAAAACCCGGGCUCAACUUCGGGCUUGCGGUCGAUACGGGCGGGCUAGAGUUCGGUAGGGGAGACUGGAAUUCCUGGUGUAGCGGUGAAAUGCGCAGAUAUCAGGAGGAACACCGGUGGCGAAGGCGGGUCUCUGGGCCGAUGACUGACGCUGAGGAGCGAAAGCGUGGGGAGCGAACAGG